rnacentral:rRNA from 1 species
UACAGAGGGUGCGAGCGUUGUCCGGAAUCACUGGGCGUAAAGGGCGCGUAGGCGGCUUCUUAAGCGUGUGGUGAAAGCGCGGGGCUCAACCCCGCGUCGGCCGUGCGAACUGGGGAGCUGGAGCACGUCAGAGGCAGGCGGAAUUCCGGGUGUAGCGGUGGAAUGCGUAGAGAUCCGGAAGAACACCGGUGGCGAAGGCGGCCUGCUGGGACGUGGCUGACGCUGAGGCGCGACAGCGUGGGGAGCGAACAGGG